UGAGUCAAAGCUUUUUGAUGCUUGUUGCAACGAUUCCGCUGAUUCGCGUUCGCAGUGUUUUUACGUUCGACGUGUACGAAGUUUAUAUAAACGCUAUUUUUGAAACGACAACAUUCGAUAUCGCCUCUUCUCAAACGUUACACGCAGACAUAAAAAGGUGCAACGAUCAAAAGCCGCGGGGAGUUUUGAUAAAGUUUGUCGACGGAACUUUCUCAGACGAUCGUCCAAUAUGGUCAGAAAAUAAUUUAAUUUUCGAAUGAUUGUUUAAUAGAACCUUAGUUGAUGAGCUUUCGAAGAAAAUCGAUUGAAUCUUAUCAAAAUUAGUCAUUUGCGUCAAGGACACGCGUGUGUGCCAGGCACGUAUUUAUGAAGGAAAGGGGGGACCAAUCAACGAUCGGGACGUGGGGAAAUUGCCAUAUAUGGGCAGCGGCAUGCAAUAGGCCCCUCCGAGUGUGCUCUCUUGCUGUCUCGACGAAAAGAGCGAAAAGAGGGUGUGUGUGCGGUCUACUCGGGAAGAGGCAUGAGAGAUACGAACUCAACGCAGCUCGUGUAUUAUAGGUUUCAAGCGUUUCGACCAAUUCCACUCCCUCUGCAUCGCCACACGCGCGCCAACCACCUGGUGGACGAAACACGAAUCAUUUUUAUCCAGUACAAACGGCAAUUGAACUCAUUCGUAAAGACGAUUUCAAUCUCAACAGAGCCUUAUCGGGCUGAUUGACAUAAAUUCAUUUCCAUGUGAUUAUUCAAGUGAAACGGGAAGAACUGCACGAAUAUUUAAAAAAUGUAUUCGAAGAAUAUUUUUACAUUUUGUAUUUCUUUGAGAGAGUUUAGUGUUUGGGAACUGGUGUGCGUAUCUGAGUAAAUUCGAAUUCGAGAUACAAAAAAACGACCAAUUGUUAUGAAAGCGCGUGUCACGGUCUUUUUAUUUUCAGUAAUUAAUCGUGUAUCGAUGACUCGUAUUAUUCUUAGUUGUACCUAUUUCUGACAGGAAUUUAUUUAAAAAAUCGCUUUUCAUGACAGAUAUAACUUUACUUGCUUUUUUGUCCGUUUCGCACCCCCAUUUCCCUCAAAAUAAAUAAUCAACUCUAACGAUUUUGAAUGAAUCGUAAUUAUGUUCAAUCACAGCUUCAGCUCGAAACCGUGCCAUUGUUUUUUCAGUAGCGAAUAAAAAUAGUGGCCAUCGCGAGUAGAAUUAUUUCUUUGAAAAAGUUACGCCCUCUAAUCAGACGCGUUGUACGAUCGACAACGAAAGUUACGAAACCUCGAACACUGAGAUCAUGGUUUUUUAGAAUCCGAGUGGACACAAGAAUGAUUUUGAAUAAAAAAAAAUCACCGAUGAAAGGGUACGAGAUGAAAAAGUCCAAACAAUUUCCAGUCGUAGUGACUUUAAUGAGAUCCUAUUACAUUCCUCCCACCGUUUCACAUUUUUCGAUCGCAUGCUAUCGCUAUUAUACGUAUCUACAUAUAUUUAUAAUUACAAUGUAUAUUGUAUGAUUGAUGUAUAUACAAACGGAAAUAAAAAAAGCAACGAGGGCGAGUUUCA